rnacentral:lncRNA from 1 species
UUUUUACAGCCACUCCCCUCUCGCAUUACCGCCUGAGCUCCGCUUCCUGUCGGGUCAGCAGCGGCAUUAGCGUCUCAUAGGAGCAUGAACCCUACUGUGAACUGCGCAUGCGAGGGAUCUAGGCUGCGCGCUCCUUAUGAGAAUCUAACGCCUGAUGACCUAUCACUGUCUCCCAUCACUCCCAGAUGGGACCGUCUAGUUGCAGGAAAACAAGCUCAGGGCUCCCACUGAUUCUACAUUAUGAUCAACUGCAUGGGGUCCUACAGGAGAAGACCAAGAGACAGAGACAGAGACCAGGGAAAAUGACCGAUACCAUUCCUUCUCAGGGAUGCUACACACCCAUGGGGCAGAGGAUAAGAGGUUCCUGAAGGCAUCACCCCUCUGGCCAUGGCUGGUGUGCAGACAAAGCUGGAGAUUUGGAGUAGCCUGUUGUCCCACUGACUCUUAGACUGCCCCAGCUAAGAAGAACCAACUCCUCCUAUUACAGAUGAAAUAAACAAAGCUACUCAAGCUCUCUGGCAUCGCCCUGACGGUCAUCAUGUGCUUCACAUUUCCCUCCUGCCCCCCCUGAUUUUCUGGAAAAGGGAGAAAGUGUGUGAAAAAAAAUGGACAAUAACUUCUGUUAACUUUGUAGAUGUCUGGUUCCUCCAUAUGAGGCUGUGCUUGAAUCAAUUUUGGAGAGAGGGUUUCUAAAGUCUCUCUAGAUUCUAUUAAUUUUGAUAGAGACAAUAAAAGGCAGCAGGACCAACUCUGUGUGGUGGGAGAUCUAGCAACCAUUAUAGUCACAAUAGCCACCACUUACUGAACACCCACCAUGUGACAAAGAACAAAUGUGCAUGAAUUAUGUCACAUUUUUCACAAGCACCCCUUGAGUUGGGAGUUCACUCAUGAGGCAACUGAGGUUCAGGGAGAUGAAGUAACUCACCCUGUAGGUAGGAGGGCUGAGAUCUGGACGUAGAUCUUUCCUCCAAAGCUUUGUCUUUUUUUUUCUACUAUAGCACACCAAAGAGAGUUCUAGAAAAAAUGAGAAUAAGAAAUUUACCUGUAAUCCUUGCUCAAGAAACUGAAGCUCUGAGGCCACAUUGUUCCAGCCUUUUGCAGCUCCUGCAUGUGGAUACCAGCACCAGCAGCUCCCCGACCAGGGGCCCCAGCUAAGCCCUCCCAGAGGAUGAUCUUGGCUUUGUACAUGGGGUGUCAAUAUCCUGUGAGUCCAACAGAGGGAAGACAUAAGAAUAUGGUCACCCAGGGCUCUGCUCAAGUCCCUGCACCAAUGCAACCUGCCAAGGGAAAGCGCUCACCAUGGUUCUGUCUUGACCUGCCAGUUUAGAUACCCAUCUAAAGUCACUGUCGCUUACAGUUGUGGCAAUUCUGAAUGUCGACAGGAGAAUGUCUCCCGGAUUUCAGCCUUUUAGAAGAUAAAAUGGUCCUAUGUGUUCAUGAACAAAACCCACCAGUUUCCCCAGGGCAGUGAGUUACCUGACAUCUGGCAGAUUCCUGGAAGGUUUCCUCUGGCCCCAUACUGGGAUCCAUUCCUGGGACAACUAGAAGUGCCAGGGAGUUAAAGCCCCAAGAGCGACCUUCAAGCCAAUAAGAGAUGGAGUUGGAAUGAAAACCUCAGCUUCCUCAUACCUCAGUGGGACAAUCCUGAGAUGUGUUCCUCAAGUCUCUCCAAGGACCUGAUGGGACUGAGUCCUGGUUGCUCAUGAGAGAAACCAGCAGGACUGGAUGUCAGUGAUUGCACCAUGCAGGAUUACAGAUUGUGCUGAGUUUAGAUUUUCUGCCUUCCUCCUCAGUUGUCAGGCUGCUAGCCAGCUCUUCUGCUCCCAUGACACCUGCAUCGAAUGCCUGCCCUUUCCUUACUACAAGACCCUUUCCAGUUCCCAGAUUAGAAUCUGCCACAGGCUAGGAAUCCCACAUCCCAGUAGUGAUUUGGCUCCAAGUGCAAAGGCACCUAGUGUCUGCCUUUUGUUCAGCAGCUUGGUGAUGGACAUAUCCAGGACUCAGAGACCCCUUUCCCUCAGCUCUCUGAGUUGGAAGCUGUCAGGUGCAGAAGGGCAACAUCUUACAUACACAGGGUUUGGGCAGGUCUGGGCAGUGCCUGGUUAAUGUUAAAUAAUGCAGAUAAAGGAAUUGUUGACAUCUGAAAGUCAAUAUGAAAAUUGUAUGCACUGCUGUGACUCAUGCAACUUCACUCCCAGCCCUGGUUCUCAUGAUUCCAGAAGUGGAAAAAAUAAGGCAACUCUUUUCCUCACAAUUCAAAAAAAUACCUAUUGAGCAACAUCAGCUUGGCCCACACAAGACAAUUUUUAUCCCUUCCGUUAGUUAACUUUGCUUUGGCCAAAGGCCAGAAAAACCUCAUUCUUUACAGGCAACCUCAGACCACCAUCCUGGAUCCACUUCAAAAACUAACUGCAGACCUGUGUCUUACUAGAGGUGAUUUGGUAGCAUUGAAGAUCAAAUCCCGAUUUAAAAAAUUAAAAAAAAAAUGAACAUAAAAUGCAUUUUUAACAAUGU